AUACCCUAUUAUUUUGAGUGUUAAUUUUGCUUACCUGGGUACUAUGAGUUAAGAUCUUUAAACCCAAAGAAUUUGGCGGUACCUUAUUCCAUUCAGAGGAACCUACCCCGUAAUUGAUAAUACACGAUUGACUUUACUUAAUUUAUUUGUUUGUAUAUCUCCGUUAUCAGAAAAUCUUAUUGGAGUUAUAAUUUUCUUGAUUUAUAAUUAUAAAAUAUUUCAGGUCAAGGUGCAGCUUAUAAUUAAGAGGAGGUGGGUUACAAUAAAUUUUUGUUUAUUAUGGAUUUAAUGGUGAAAUACUAUUAAUGAAGGUGGAUUUGAUAGUAAUUUAAUUUAUUUAAUUUAAUUGAUAUUGGCUCUAAGGUGUGUACACAUCGCCCGUCACUCUCA
rnacentral:rRNA from 1 species